rnacentral:rRNA from 1 species
UAGGGAAUCUUCCACAAUGGACGCAAGCCUGAUGGAGCAACACCGCGUGAGUGAAGAAGGGUUUCGGCUCGUAAAGCUCUGUUGUUAAAGAAGAACACGUAUGAGAGUAACUGUUCAUACGUUGACGGUAUUUAACCAGAAAGUUCACGGCUAACUACGUACCAG